GAUGCCAGGAUCAAAAGCCUGAAACCACGAUGUGCUUGCACAGGAGUGGUUUUAUGGCUUAAUGAUCCGCCCAAAUAUGAGCAUAAAAGUGGAGCGUCAGCUUCACGAUAUGCGAAUAUUGGGGUGCUAUGUGCCAGUGGCACAUGUUUAGCACCGACCGAAGCGGAGCGUAGAAAGAAUUGUGGGAGUACGAAGUACGGAACAACUCGUAUG
rnacentral:sRNA from 1 species